rnacentral:rRNA from 1 species
UACGUAGGUCGCAAGCGUUGUCCGGAUUUACUGGGCGUAAAGAGCUCGUAGGCGGUUUGUCGCGUCGAAUGUGAAAACCCGGGGCUCAACCCCGGGCCUGCAUUCGAUACGGGCAGACUAGAGUUCGGUAGGGGAGUCUGGAAUUCCUGGUGUAGCGGUGAAAUGCGCAGAUAUCAGGAGGAACACCGGUGGCGAAGGCGGAUCUCUGGGUCAUUACUGACGCUGAGGAGCGAAAGCGUGGGGAGCGAACAGG